UACGGAGGGUGCGAGCGUUGUCCGGAAUCACUGGGCGUAAAGGGCGCGUAGGUGGCUUGGCAAGCGUGUGGUGAAAGCCCGGGGCUCAACCCCGGGUCUGCCGUGCGAACUGCUAUGGUUUGAGCACUGUAGAGGCAGGUAGAAUUCCGGGUGUAGCGGUGGAAUGCGUAGAGAUCCGGAAGAAUACCGGUGGCGAAGGCGGCCUGCUGGGCAGUGGCUGACACUGAGGCGCGACAGCGUGGGGAGCAAACAGG
rnacentral:rRNA from 1 species